rnacentral:pre_miRNA from 1 species
UAUGUACUCCCUCCGUUCGGAAUUACUUGUCGCAGAAAUGGAUGUAUCUAGAUGUAUUUUAGUUCUAGAUACAUCCAUUUCCGAGACAAGUAAUUCCGAACGGAGGGAGUAAUAC